rnacentral:misc_RNA from 1 species
CCUGCCGGUAGAACUUCGAACUGAAGAUCCGUGUGAAGUUUUCCAGGCCCCAACCGGCCUCUUCGGUUUGCAGGCUGUUGAUCAGCACCCAUACCAGCGGCGCGAUCUCGAACACGAUAAAGAACAGUGCGAAGGGCACCAGGCACAGCAGGGCCAGCCAUUUGCCGCGGGUCAUCGAAUUCACUUGAGCAACUCCCGGCACACCGGUUUGUCGUGCGGCACGCCAAGCAGCUCGCAGACGGUACCGCACAGAUCGGUUUGUUUCGGCGCGGCGUCAGCAUCCAGGCUGAAGGCGUCACCGAGGACAAACAGCGGCACUUCGCGCUCUUGCGGCAAUAGGCCGUUGUGAGAGCGGUCGUUGUUCAUGCCGUGGUCGGCCGUGACCAGCACCUGGUAGCCGGCGUCGAGCCAGCCUUGCAGGUAGUCGGCCAGGAUAAUGUCGGCCGAACGGGCGCUGUUGCGGUAUUGCGGGGUGUCGAGGCCAUGCUUGUGGCCGGCAUCGUCGAUAUUCAUCGGAUGCACCAGCAAAAAGUUGGGCGCGUGCUUGAGCCGCAGGCUCUCGGCAUCGGCGAACAGAUGGGAAUCCGGAUAGUGGUCAGUCCAGUAGAAAUGCCCGUGCUGGAUCGCCAGUGCCUUGUUGUCGGUGUGACGAUCGCGGGCGGCGAGAAAGGGCGUGCGGUUAUACAACUCGCUGACCCAGUGGUAAGCCGCCGCAGCGGUGCUCAAGCCGGCGUCGGUGGCGUAAUUGAAAAUGCUGCGCUGGUUGGACAGGCGCGAGACGUUGUUAUGGACAAUGCCGCUGUCAAUCGGUGGCACGCCGGUGAGGAUGCAUUCAUACAACGGGCGGGACAGGGCGGGCAGUUCGCAUUCCAGUUUGUAGAGGGCUGCGCGUCCUGCGCCGACGUAGGCCUGCAAGUGUCCCAUGGCGUGCUGGGCGACCUCGAAGUUCAGGCCGUCGAGCACGACAAGGAUGACAGUGUGCUUCAUGGGGGCUGGGGCUCCGCGACAGAUGGGCAGAUAUCGUUUUUUCGGUUGAAACCGGAUCAAAUGUGGGAGCUGGCUUGCCUGCGAUGGCGGUGUAUCAGUGGACACCAAUGUUGAAUGUCAGACCGCUAUCGCAGGCAAGCCAGCUCCCACAC